GCGGGCGGCGGGCGGGGGAGGCGGUGCCGCCCUUUCUCUGCCGUCGGGGCGGACUGCCGGCCUCAAGGCCCCGCUGGAGCUGGGCGCGGAGCGGUCACCGGGCUUCUGCGGGGCGGGAGGAAGAGGGAACGGCUUCUCGGCCGGCUCCAACCCCUGCCCUACUUUUGCAGCUGAAAUCCUCGUUCUCUCUCACGAAUUUGUCUGUACGUGCACGCAGUGGCAAAGAGUAUUUCAGCUCUUGAGGGAGACAGGCCUAUAAAUCGUGGUGUGGCUUCAUCAGAAUUCAGUUAGAAUUUGACUAUGGGAGCGCGGUUCCUGCUGAAGACGUCUGUCUGGUUAAAGAAACACAAGAUCACUUUGUUGGCUACUUCUUGCGUGGGACUGUUUGGUGCUAACCUUUCCUAUCAUGUAUUUCCUGAGCAGACAUUCAAACUGUUGCACGAGUGCUGGUCAGGUGGGCAGCCAGCUGAACUUUCUCAGAGGCUCUGUGCUGUCUUUCAGGAUGUCCUUCAAGAUACUGCAGUGAAGUCCACCAACUACCAAGCCUUUGCGGCUUCUGGCUUCCACCCGGUCAGUGCUGGAAUCCCCUGGCUGCCUGCGGGUUCUUUGGUGGGCAUCCCUCCUAAUUUUGAUAGCACAAUUGAGGAUAAAAGAGGAAUAGUCAACCACGUUGUUGUGAUUGGUGGCAAGGAAGUAGACUGGGAAAGUAAUGAAGGUGUUGCUUUGAAGGAAGCUCUGACAUUUUCACUUGAUGCACAGAAGUUUGCACUUGCCAGAGAAGUUGUGUAUUUGCAGAAUGGCAGCCCUUUAGCGAGUGCAGCUGUGGCUCCAAUGUGCUUAGCUGGUACGUGUCUCUGUGGGACAGGUAUGAAGAUAGCUCUGGGUCUGUAUUCUGGCCCCAGGAUACUUCGCAGCAUCUGUAACUUCAUAAUUGCUGCCGCUGGACUAAUCCUCUAUUACAUUUCUUAUGAUGCUAUGACCUAUCACCUGGACUGCAAGGCUGACAGAAAUGCAGCUACCGUAUCCAAAGACUAUGCCAAAGGUGGGGUGGAAUUUUAUGACAAAAUCCUGUCCCGCAACAGGACUCUUCGUGCUCUGAUGGGCAAAGAAGGGACAAAAAUAUAUGCCCCAAGUGGUAACCUUUUCCCAAGGCACUGGUUCAGAUUAAAGUAUACCCCAUACACUUACCGAAAAGAUUUAAUUGUUAAUAUUUUAAAAGAGCUCCAGGCAUAGGAAGGGAGUGCUUGAAUUUUAAACUUGUAAAUUAUGUAUUCUCUUUGGAACACUGCUGUGCUGCUUUUUUUUUUUUUCUCUGCAUCUUCAUUAGAAUUUUGGGGUUUAUUUUUGCAUAUAGUUUGGAAGGAGUUAUUGCACAUUCCGUGAAUAAAGAAUUCUCUCUUAAAAUAUUAAAGAGUUGCUUCAAAAGUGCUCCACUCUGUGUGCAUCUUAAAUCACAAGACCACUGAGGAAGGGAGCUGCUCAGAUGCUUAUCUGGAACUUGUGCAGUUCUGCUGCCCCUUACUGCCAGUUCCAGACUGGAAAAUGGAAAGGGUAAAGUCAAACAGAGUUUUGGGAUCAUUGUCAUUUAAACAUCGGUAGUUUUGUGCAUUUUUGCCAUUCCUCCUAUGUUACAGCCCUAAGAUGUUGAAACGACUGGGAGUCUGUGUAGUGCAGUUACAUAAAUACUGAGACACAGCACUUAUGUCUUGUGUAAGUUCUUAUGCUGUGUAAAUUCUUACAGUACAACCACUAUUCUUCAGUAGGGCAGGUGAAUUGGGCUGCCAUUUACAUAAAUACAGCUAGAUUAUUACAGCACCUGUAGCUUAAAUCUGGUUUCAUCAGGAUGUCACUGUGAUCGCAGUGAGGAUGAGUGUCCCAACAGCAGGAGUAUGAAACCAACAUCUGCCGUAAGUUGGGUGUUUUCUCACAAGUGAGAUCAUGCUGUUCAGAAGAGGAAUUUCAGUUUGCUUUGGUAUGGCUUUUCUUUCAUUUUAAAAUACAUCUUGAUUUUUGUCAGCUUUUAUGUCGAGGAAUAAAGACAAGGUCAAAGAAAUAAGUCUCUAUCCAUCACAGUAAUAAGUCUUGCCAGUGUUUACUCAAAGUAUCACCAAGUUCUGUUUUGCUUUGAAUCAGAUAUUGACAUAAAGUUGAUAUACUGACAGCUGGGGCACUGGUGUUGCUUUACAUUGCUUAAGCUGCAUCUCUGAGUUGUUUGGGUUUCUGCUGUGUGAUGGGUAUUUUUCUGAACCAUUUCUGAUCACUCGUGUUUGUCCUUGAAGCAUCAAGUCAUGAGAUGUCUCUUAGAUUCUUUCUGGCUGUAGGACAUAAGUUUAUUGUUCUCUUGACCUUUCUGAAAGAGUUUGGCAGAAUCUCCUGUUCUGUGGAAUAAAGAGACUUUACUUUCAGGCUGCAGGUUUUCAAAGCUCCAGGCUAAAUUUUAUUUGUCUUUUCUUCCAGGUAAAUCCAGUGUAAAAGGUCAAGAUAGAGUUUUGCUGGUUUAGUAAUGUAGUGGCUCGAGACUGGAAUAUAAUUCCUGUUUUAUGUAGUCUGUGAAUUCAAUUCAUCUUCAUGCUACUCCAUUAAGUGUGAAUUCCAUUAAAUAACACAGGAGAGAACUUGUCCCACUUCUUUGGCUUAAGGAGUUGCUACUACAUUAAGAGUGCAGAGAGGAAAUAGAGUCCUUAUUUGAGAUUUACAGCAGUAGCAAUUUAAAGCAAAAUUUAGUUUAAAAAAAACUAACCUUGCUGCUUUUCAUCAGGGCACCUGCAGCUAGUGCUGUUAUUUGACAUUCUCAGACUGUAAAGUUCAGUAAUGCUGAUGGAUUUUGCAGUUGUGCUCUUUGCGUUACUCUUCCAGCUGGAUUGUCCAAGAAGCUCCAAGUAUCCGUAGGUGCUGUUCAGAUUUAGCCUUCUUUUAACUUGCCAUAGCACAUUGUUGUCAGUGUGGGAUUGCAGGCUAGUUGUUCUGAGACAUACUCUCUUGCCUUCUUAAGAGAUAUGCCUACCAAGGGCUUGCACACCUGGAUCUCUGUAUAGUUAAGCUCCUAUUCUAUAGCCAGCCAUGAAAUCUGGAAGCGUAGUCCUGUCAAAAGAGAAGUGUCCAAAUCAUAGCUCUUAAUUAGAGUUCCCAUAACUUUGGGAAGCGUGAAUUGUCUUGCAAACUCAAGUAUGUGACCAUGAAAAUACUCAUGGAACGUCUUACAAUAUUGCAAAAAUAGAAAAAUGAGGGGGAAAAGCAGGCUUAUUCAGUGGCCCAGACUCAGUUUACAGGUAAUGUUGUUGUCUCCAAUAGUUCUGAAGCUGGAACUCAGAGGAGUUCUGGAAACACAAUGUGGUUGUAACUGGCUUCUCUUACCGUGCUCAGAUGAGACAGAUGUGGUACAGGUUUUCAUGCAGAAAAGCUACAUAAAAUGUAAAGCAAAGGGAAUUGCUAGGAGGCUUAUAUAAGAAGUUUCAGCCAAGCAAGUGUAAAAGCCAGAGUGUAAAUGAAAUAAUGAACUCUCAUAAAAACGGAUAUUGACUGCACAACGAGGCUCUCUUUCUGUCUGGUGCAGUAAAUCGAUUAGAGCAUGAAGUAUGAAGAGAAAAUGACCACAAUGAGUCACUAGUUUAAACGUAUACACAAUCUCCUUUAAAGAGAGGUUUCCCUGACUCGUUUGUUUAGACUAUUAUCCUGAAUUUCUAGAUAACCAGAGAAACUGAAGAGAAAAUAGUCUUUGUAACAUAAUUUUUAUAUAAAUGUAAUGUUUGCUGCUACAUAAAUCCUUAGAGGAUAAUAGUGCAGGUGGUGAGAGCUCCAUGGAUGCUUUGCUCAGAAUUCCCACUGGCAUGGAGGAAUGCAGCUUUUCUUUCUCCGUACUAAGAGUGAUGAUUAUUUUCAUGGCGGUGCCUUCAGCUUUUUAAUGGUCAGGAAGGUAAGGCUGUUGGAAGCACAGCAAGACUGAGAGCUGAGCAAUUUUCUUAUAGCCAGGCAAAUAGUAGAAAUAAUCUGAUUUAAAGUCAGUUUUGAAUUGUCUCCUUAUGCCGCUUUCAGGAAGAAGCAGCUUCAGAAGUGGCUGAAGUGAAACCCCUUUCUAGCUUGCUUGUGAAUAACGUUGCCCACGGUAUUGCUAUGAGGGCUUCAAUUGAAGCGCAGUAUCAAUUCAGACAACAGCACCUCUUAUCACAGCAGAGCACUGUUAUCACCUCUUUUCACAUUAAAGUGGCUUCCAGAACCUGACAGAUAGGACGAUGAGUGCUGACUGCAGCCCGUUGCCCUACAGGGUAUGCUAGUGGUGGUGAAGAAAGUGAGGCUGGGAGCUGGGCUCCUGCUUUGCAGUUUCUGUAGCAGUUGUGAAACAUCCAUUGUGACAAAGUGUGGCUUGGGUGGGAGUGAAUUAAAAUGUAUGAAUCAAGUCAUCGCCCUCUGACUGAAUCACAGGCAGCUUUCAUUAAAGGAACAAAUGCAGAGAAUCUUCCCCAGGGUGAGUAGUGCCAUGACAGCAGUUGUGGGCAUCACUAAAACAACUGCAGGCAUCUCCACUAUGUGGGAAUGCAAUGCCUGGCAAGCACUGAGACAAGUAUUUGGGCCACAUCCUGCAACUGUUAUCUGCUCUUGUUCAUUAGAAGCUUCAUGGAGCAGGUGUGAUUACAUUAGUAUAACCAUGAUUCAGUUGCAGACAGCCUACUGCAUGUGCAGGCGCCGUGUUCCUCCUUGAUUUCAUUCAUCUCAGCUGGAAAUGUGUCUGAGAAAAGCAGAAUGCACUGGGGAAGAAAGAAAAGCACAAAUGUGAUGCCACGUUCAGAGCAGGCAGUUGAGCUGGGACACGCACUUACUGCUCCUUGACCCAGAUACAGAAGUGCUUGUACUGCACGAGUGUUACACGGAGAGCACAGAGCGCUUCUAGCAGCAGAUGGUUAUUUGGAGCAGAAGGGUCCACAUAACAUUUGGGUUUUUCCUGACAAACGACAAGAAUCAGCUCCCACCCAGUGACCUGUUACAAGUCUGCCGGCAAAAUCAGAAGCUAAUUUCAGAUCUAGUAAUGGGCUCACAACUGGAUCUCUGAGGAACUCAGCAGUGCUCCCAUGUGCCAUUCCCAGAGGUGUGCAGAAUCCCCCCAGUGACACAGCCCUAAUUUCCGAGCAUCGUUGCAAAGCAAACUCAAUUUCAUACAGGUUAUGACCUCUUGUUUGAGCGCUCAGAGAUUUGUGACCUACUUCAUGACUGAGUUUUUUGUUUGCUUUUAGCUCUUUGGAUGGAGAAACUAAGAAAAUCUCCAAGACAGAUCCUGAUGUUUUUACUUCAUCGCCUGAGAAGGGCUGUGCAGAAGUACAGGUCUGGCUCUCCUGCACCAGAAGAAUUGAGUGCCACCACUGAUCCACAUUGGCAAGCUGUUACAGAAGCAUCUGUGUCAGCCUUGUGACACCAACCAGUAUGUAGCACAGGAUUCAAGGGUUACUGUGUUUGUCCUCACUAAAUCUUCUAAGCAAGAUGGUGAAGUGUUCAGAUAUGUUUACUCCUUCAUCCCUUCAUAGGAUGCCAGCCAGGAGAGGUAAGGUGGGGAUCCUUAUUUUCCUGUCUUGGUGUAGGGAGUGCCUUUGAUCAGGGAGGCUCUUGGGAUCAUCUCUUACAGUACCUUUCAGCCUGUCCCUAAUUACUCAGUGUUUUCCUGCUGGUGGUUCCACCCUGUGGCUCCAGCACAAUCAGGACACUCCUGUUUUCUGAGAACUGAGGAAAGGGCAGCAAUAAAAAACUAUCUCCUAUGGUCAAGUAAGUGGCACUGGCUGGGGCAGGAAGAUACAGACCAGGUUUUUACUUGGUUAUGUGGAGAGAAAUUUCUUCUUGUGCACUUUUAUCUAUCCCAAAGGUGACUUGAGAGUUUGGCAACACUCUUGCCAAAGCCAAAAUUGUUCCCAAAUUGUGAAAUACAAAAUAUAUUUGCAUUUUAAUUUGCAUUCUGUUUUUUUCUUUUUUUUUAUUUUCGUAUUUCCAAGUUCCCUUGACUCUUACGACUAGAAACAUCAAAAUUAUUCUUAUCAUCAGUACUACUGCUGCUCAUAACAAUAAUACAUAAAAGCGAAGAUUCUUAGGUAAUAAGCAAAUUUCAUGAGCUAUGGGCAGCAUGAGAGAGAUGCUGUAAGAGUGGAGAGUUCAGAUCAGAUAAAAGCCACAUUAAAACUGGAACUAAUUGGUAGCCUUGUUGUUGGUGUUGCUGGAGAGAUGAAGCGAUGAGCCACCCUGUCCUCAGUGUGUGGUCCCUUUGUGGCUGAGCGAGAUAGGCGCAGGUAGAACAGUAGUGUGAGUGCACUACAGUGCUACCUUCACAUUUUUUAAGUCAGGCUGUGAUCAGUGGGGCUGACACUACACUCUUGACUUCCCUGUGCCUGUUUCCCUGCUAACCUAGAAGCUGACAUGUGCCUGUGCUGAGGGUCUUUUCAGGGUGUUAUCCAUGUAGCAGCCAGUGACUCUCUGGUCCUCUCCUCUGCUGGCUGUUUCUGAGGCAGGACAUCAUCUGAUAUGCUCCAUCUCAACUACUUUAAGGCUACGUGUAUUUUUUAAAUAAGAAGGAAUGCAUGCAACCAUUUUGCUGUCUUGAUUUGCAAACAAGUUUUUUCCCCUGAUUUGAAAAUGCAGAGAGCUGAAUUGUGUGUAAUUGAUGGCAUUUUGUUUUACAGUUAGUCUGACAAACUCCCAUCCAAUCAGCCCAAACCUUCUAGCAAUUUUUGCUAUUUUAUAACACGAACUCUGGGACUACUUCAGUAAGCCAGAAAGUGAGCAUUCUGUGAAUCAGGAAUUCAGAACGAGCUGUACCAUUCCUGGAAGAAUUUAACCGGUCAAAAUCUCUCUUGACAAUUUUAAUUACUUUGCAGUAGGGCCAGAGUGUGGGUGUACCAGGAAGCAGUUUGCAUACAUUUUGUUUAGCUGAAUUGCUGCUGUGCCCUCUUUUGUGUCUUUCUUAGGAAAGGUCAAAUUUGGCAGUUUUCUGUAUCACAAGGAGAUCAUUAAUGCAAGGUGAAAGCAAACCACAACACUCAAUAAACACUUUUAUUUUUCUCUUUGGAGAUAUUAACUUGUAAAAAACACUUAUUUUUGAAAUACAUCACGUUACACAAAGCAAAGAACAAUGCUUUUAGGGACAGGCUUGCAUGUCUGACUAUGGAUUACACUGAGGAAAAGCCUUUCACUGGUGCCUGCUGUUGGCAGACAAUGUAGACCUCAGAACCUCAACAGAGGAUGUGCCGGGCAAUGAGAGGUGACAUAUGGUCCCUCUGUGUUUCAGAUGAGUGAGUUCUGUGCAAACUUUUGUAAAGACGCUUGUGAAAGGCCAAAGAAACCAAACACUACAGUAUUUUUUGUAAUCCCUUGCAAUAAAAGGUGAAGAGAUGACAGGCAGCCAUUUUCUCUGCCCGUCUUCUAUAUGUAUUUCUGUUUCUCAAAAGGUUCCCCGAUGCAACUUGCAACUGAGCUGAAAUAUGAAAACUGUCCAUUGGGAAGCCUGAACUCACUGUGGCACUUUCCUUUCAGAGCAAAGAAACAAAACCAACGAAAGCAGUUUCUUUACAAAGGUGGAAUGUGUAUUCCUUAUCUACACGGGCUGCAUCGGCUUACAGAAUAUGGUGCAGCCUUUGCUCAGUAAGGGCGAUCUUAGCAACAGAAAAGUAAAUAGCAUUGAGUGCAGAACACAGCGACCUGGGCAAAGGCACUGCCUUCUUUAAAGUCACUGCUCUGUAACUUCUGGCUCUGAAAGAAAACCGUCUCAAAUUCCUGAAAGGUUCUUAGAGUUCAGCCAGAUACAAGGCUGGGGCUUCUCAAUAGAGGCACUUACAGAAGGGGGAAAAAAAGUAAAAAUCAAAGCCUGGAAUCGCCAUGCUUGAGCUGCUCAUUUCAGAAUACUCUUUUUUACUUUGUUUGUAACUACAAAAAGAAAUCAAUAGCAGAAUGGAGCUAAUUCCUUACAGAUUGAGCCCGUCAGUACUUUUCUGCUUUCUCACUCCUCUCCAAUAUUCCAGACUCCAGGACUACCUGGAAAAUAGAUGACAAAUUCUCAUUUAUCCUAUUUUCAUUGAAAUCCUAUCUGAUGCAGGGAAGAUGAACUGGGAACAAUUACUCAUUUCUUAUGAGAAUUCAUGGUGAGAAGUUGCAAAGCCAAGAGGCUUCAGUGGCAAUUGGUAGCUAGGUUGCUUAAUGAGGGACCUAGAAAAGGCAAAAACUAUUUUAAAGCACAACAUAGCUCAAACCAAAGUUAUAGGCUUGCUGCUGAAAUUACUGGGUGAGGUUCUUUGGACUAAGUCAAACUAAAUGGGCUACAUGUAACUAAAUGGGCAUUUUUGGCUUAAAAUCUAUGAAAGUGGUUUGCCUAAAAUAAGAUUGUGGAUCUCAUCUCAAAACUUUGAUCCAAUGAUUUUUAAGGUUCUAAAAGUGUUUAUUCGAUGUUUCAUUCACUGUAGUGUUUUACUGGGGCUUCUUGUGUCCAAUAUCCACAUUUUAGGGCACAACAGGAAGCAAAAGGCAUGAGGCAGAAGUCCUGCUCAGGCCAUAGUGUGAGGCCAUUGCCUGCUGGUUGUUGACGUUCCUUGGCGGUUCUACUGUUCUUUUACUGUUUCUAUUUGGAAAAGAUUUAAUGCUUUAAAAUAUCUUUUGGCCUCUUUUAUGAUGGCUUUAUAUUUAACUUGCCAGAGUGUAUGCUGUUCCUGUUUUGGAUAGAAGCAGAAAAUAUCAGUAUUCCACCAGUGGAUGCACAGAUGACAUUCACAAAAGGCUCAGUGAUGGAGUCAUGCUGCAGUCUGCUUGCUUUCUUUCAUUCAUGAUUCUGGGAUGUGGUCACUCACUGUUUGACACAUAACAAGUCGUAAUUCUGCAAAGUAAGUUCUCCUGAACGUGCUGAAGUCCACGUUGCAAGCACUCAGAACUCUUGCAGUGCAGGCCUGACCUGAGCACGCAGCGGGACUGUUCCACUGACUUUGAACGGAGCCCUCGGUCAGCGAUGCUUGUCGGGGCUAAUCAGGUAAUGUGAGGAAACAGCUGCAAAGUGCCCAGCCUUCAGGAUCUGUGUGUCUCACCCAUUCUGUGUCCCAUUAGCAAGACAUGUCUGUUAGUAACAGCUUGAAGUUACAUUUGCUAAAUGAACACUGUGCAGUUCUGCAGUUAUAUUGAGUGCUUUGGGUUGUUUCUCUGUUACACUGUAUAAAAUAUCGCUAUUUUCAAACUGAACACUGCAGUGCAUUUGUCAUGAUCCAGGUAUGAGUAAGGAAUUAUACAGAAAUGUGAGAGCUGCACUUUGAAGCUUACGUGCAAAUGGAUUAAAUCAUAUCUAUGCAUAGCUAAGGAACUUGUGAAUAAAUGCAUGAUCUGAAGGAGAAUUUUCAAGAAACCAAGGCAACUCUGCAGCUAAGGAUCUCUAAUGCACAGGAUAGCGUAUUUUGUCUGCUGCUGCUGCUGGCAGUAUUUCAGAGCUGCAGAAUUUGGAUAUUGGAUGUGUCUGGAUUCAAACACAAUGGGUUUGUCAGUACAACUCGAGCCAUGGGGCAGUCCUGUGCCUCAGUGCUGGAGAAUGGGGGCAGCUGGGAGCUGGGAUUAUUAGCCUAGUAAAACGAAGGGGUACGGCUGCUUUCUAGAAAUAAAUUGGGAGUAAACACCCAGAGAGGAGGGCUAUGGAAGCAAAGGAAGAGAACUGGCACAAGAACAAAUGGGUAUGAAAUGAGCGGGAAUAAAUUUAGGCUGGAAACAUAGAGGUUUCCAAACUUCAAAAGGACGCGAUUUUAGAAAGCUUCCUAAUUAGAAGAGUGCAUGCAAACUCCCAUAGCAUUAUUAUGCAUUUACUAUUUAGGAAUUUAAUUGUGAAAUCCAAGAACUCGUUCCCUACGUGCCCAUUACUUGGUCAAGUUGUGAAAGGCUGUGCUUUAAUAAACGGAGAUUAAAGAGAUUUCUAACCAA